rnacentral:rRNA from 1 species
AGAGUUUGAUUAUGGCUCAGGAUGAACGCUAGCGGCAGGCUUAACACAUGCAAGUCGAGGGGCAGCACGGGUAGCAAUACCUGGUGGCGACCGGCGCAAGGGUGCGUAACGCGUGAGCAACAUGCCCUAUACAGGGGGAUAAACCAGGGAAACUUGGACUAAUACCCCAUAGCAUUUAUUUAUGGCAUCAUGAAUAAAUUAAAGCUUCGGUGGUAUAGGAUUGGCUCGCGUGACAUUAGCUAGAUGGUGAGGUAACGGCUCACCAUGGCGAUGAUGUCUAGGGGUUCUGAGAGGAAGGCCCCCCACACUGGGACUGAGACACGGCCCAGACUCCUACGGGAGGCAGCAGUGAGGAAUAUUGGACAAUGGAUGGAAAUCUGAUCCAGCCAUGCCGCGUGCAGGAAGACGGCCCUAUGGGUUGUAAACUGCUUUUAUACGGGAGCAAUAAGGUCUACGUGUAGACUGAUGAGAGUACCGUAUGAAUAAGCAUCGGCUAACUCCGUGCCAGCAGCCGCGGUAAUACGGAGGAUGCGAGCGUUAUCCGGAUUUAUUGGGUUUAAAGGGUGCGUAGGCGGCCUUGUAAGUCAGCGGUGAAAUUUUGCAGCUUAACUGUAAAAGUGCCGUUGAUACUGUGAGGCUAGGAUUUGGUUGCUGUGGGUGGAAUGUGUGGUGUAGCGGUGAAAUGCUUAGAGAUCACACAGAAUAUCGAUUGCGAAGGCAGCUCACAAAGCCAAGAUUGACGCUGAGGCACGAAAGUGUGGGGAUCAAACAGGAUUAGAUACCCUGGUAGUCCACACUGUAAACGAUGAUAACUCGCUGUCGGCGAUAUACAGUCGGUGGCCAAGCGAAAGCGAUAAGUUAUCCACCUGGGGAGUACGACCGCAAGGUUGAAACUCAAAUGAAUUGACGGGG